CUUUGAUUUAAAUUAUUCCAGCUGUGAUGUGUCUUCAUUUUAUAGCAGUUUGACACUGGAGCUUUUGAGCUUUUUUACCUCACAUCUUUUAUCAAAUAAUAUUUACUGCUUUGAAAACAGCAACAGCAUUGGCCAGUUCAGUAGGGGAAGCUUGCUUUAUUAAGACACUCUGGAGAAAGACGUCAGGGAAUCCUUGUAUAUGUCGUGGGAAUCAACUCCUCAUUUAUCUGUUGCGUAAGUUUAAGUUUUUGUGCAUCAGUCGGGUUUUCUAUAUUUUUUUAACUUAACAUUUUUU
rnacentral:lncRNA from 10 species